rnacentral:rRNA from 1 species
UACAGAGGGGGCAAGCGUUGUUCGGAAUUACUGGGCGUAAAGGGCGCGUAGGCGGCCGCCUAAGUCAGACGUGAAAUCCCUCGGCUCAACCGGGGAACUGCGUCUGAUACUGGGUGGCUUGAAUCCGGGAGAGGGAUGCGGAAUUCCAGGUGUAGCGGUGAAAUGCGUAGAUAUCGAGAGGAACACCUGCGGCGAAGGCGGGUUGCUGGGCUGACACUGACGCUGAUGCGCGAAAGCUAGGGGAGCGAACGGG